rnacentral:misc_RNA from 1 species
AGAUUCAACAAGUAGAUUUUUCAUUCUCAUUUAUGACCCGAUGUAGGACGAAGUAAAAUGUAGGAGGUGCAGUGGGUUUGCGCAGUCGCAUGCCAUUCCGGUAUUCAAUAGAUUGUGAAGUGCAGUUGCAGUCAAGAUCGUCAGGCGGCACAGCUGUGUCUCCACAGUUCACCCCAAAAGGAUGUGCUAGGUGAAAACAUGAGUUGGUUAAAUUAUAUAUCUUUUUGCUAUAAACAACAUAUUGUUAUCAGAUACAUUAACGGAAUUUAAACAAUCAGGAACACUUAAAAUUGAAUUUAAUGAAGAGUGACAGAAGUUGAAGAAAUGAUGAUGAUCGAGGAUCAAGGAUGACGGAAAAUAUUGUUAACGUUUCUACUAGUAUCUUUGAUGACCCCCAGCAGGGGGUUCAAUGUAUCGAAUUGAACAUUUCUGAAAAGCUUCAAGGUGCCAGAACUAUUGCAACUAUCGUGUUCUUGGGCAUUAUUAAUGUGGCAGUCAUCGUUGGGAACGCUUUAGUGAUUUUAGCAGUGUUUGCUUCCGCAAAGCUUCGAACGGUGACAAAUUUUAUAAUUAUGUCAUUAGCAGUAGCAGAUCUAUUAGUUGGUAUUGCAGUUCUUCCAUAUUCCAUUACACUAGAAGUACUCGAAGUAUGGGUAUUCGGUCAUAUCUGGUGUCAGAUUUGGCUAGCAGUAGACGUUUGGAUGUGUACAGCUUCAAUUCUGAACUUGGUUGCUAUCAGUAUAGAUCGUUACUUGGCUAUAACGCGACCCGUACAUUAUAGAAGUAUUAUGACUUCUCGCAGAGUAAAACUAUUGAUUGCUUCAGUUUGGAUUCUUUCAUUUCUCAUUUGUUUCCCUCCUUUAGUAGGAUGGAAUGACGAUUCUAGGAGUAAAUUUAAUGGAAAGUUAAAAGCGAACGUUACUAUCGAUCAACAAACAGAAACUGAAGAUGUGUUUCGAGAACUAGACCUAAGUCAAUUGUCAAUGUUUUUGAAUGAAACAUUUAUAGAAGCAAAUGACUCGAUUGCACUUUCUAAUGUCACAAAUCAAACAUUAACAGAAUGGACCGAAACCGAUUCCGAAACUAAUAUGAUGGAUCGAUGCGUUGCUCCAGAAUGUUCAUUAAUCGGUAACAAAGGAUACGUAAUAUACUCUGCACUAGGUUCCUUUUACAUUCCAAUGCUGGUAAUGCUAUUCUUUUACUGGCGAAUUUAUCGUGCUGCCAUAAGAACAAGUCGUGCCUUGCAAAGAGGAUUUAAAACUAGCAAAAAUGAUGCGGAAAAUACCCUAACUUUACGCAUUCACAGAGGUAAACCUUCGACAGACGUUACGGUUUCUCAAAAUUACGGACAUGUAAGACGUGAAGGUGAUAUGAUAGUGCCAAGAAGAGCUUUAUCGGCGGGGCAAGCUACAUUACCCACCGUGAGAAUUAAGCCAGCGGUGAAGAAUCGUAGAAGUUUGCAAGAUAUGAACGGAGGAUACUAUCCACCCGUUAGAACUAAAGAAUUAUCCAUGUACAAUUCCCCGACGAAUCUGUGUCAAGGGAAUUUACCGGGAACCUCUUAUGCCACCAAUGGCAAGUCAAACAGGACCUUCUUUACACGCAUAAGUAAACGAAAUGCCAGAUGGCAUGCGAGACGUUUCCACUCAGAAGCCAAAGCAACAAAAACUGUUGGAAUUAUUGUUGGUGGUUUUAUAUUGUGUUGGUUGCCAUUCUUCACCGUUUAUCUGUUACGUGCUUUUUGUGACGAUUGUUUCUCUGAUAUCAUUUUUAAUAUUUUCUUCUGGCUCGGUUAUUGUAAUUCUGCUGCAAAUCCUUUAAUAUACGGCAUGUUCAGUAAAGAUUUUCGAGCAGCAUUUAAGAAAAUCGUAUGCCGUUGCAAGUUAAAAGAAGAUGGCAUCACGUCGCUCAUUAAACAGAUACACAUGCCUACUUUUUUCGAAGAUAUGCCUGAUGAUAAUUCUCAAGAAUAGUACAUUUUUGCUCUAAAUAGUAACCGUCCGCCAUUACGACAAACGACGAUGCUCCAAAAUUUAAAAAAAAAUGUAUUUUAUAUUCAGUUCCGAAUUCUUAUUUUAAGUGUAGAAAAUGGAAGCGUCGAGUUUGAAAUAAUACAAUUGGACCAAAUCAAACUAAAACUAAUGAGAAAUCAAUUCAACUAAACCAAUCACGUUUCAUCUGUCAACUGUACUUUAUUGAAUUAGUUAGAUGAACUAUAUUAUUGUAAAUUAAAUGUUACUUUAUGGUAAAUGUUUGUUGUUGUGUUCGAAGAUCAAUAAAAUUACU